CCUACGGGAGGCAGCAGUGAGGAAUAUUGGUCAAUGGACGAGAGUCUGAACCAGCCAAGUAGCGUGAAGGAUGACUGCCCUAUGUGUUGUAAACCUCUUUUAUAAAGGAAUAAAACGAGGCACGUGUGCCUUAUUGCAUGUACUUUAUGAAUAAGGAUCGGCUAACUCCGUGCCAGCAGCAGCGGUAAUACGGAGGAUCCGAGCGUUAUCGGGAUUUAUUGGGUUUAACAGGAGCGUAGAUGGGUUGUUAAGUCAGUUGUGAAAGUUUGCGGCUCAACCGUAAAAUUGCAAUUGAUACUGGCAGUCUUGAGUACAGUUGAGGUAGGCGGAAUUCGUGGUGUAGCGGUGAAAUGCUUAGAUAUCACGAAGAACCCCGAUUGCGAAGGCAGCUUACUAAACUGUGACUGACAUUGAUGCUCGAAAGUGUGGGUAUCAAACAGGAUUAGAUACCCUGGUAGUC
rnacentral:rRNA from 1 species